AUAAAAUUUUAUUUUAGUUUAAUAAUUAGGUUUUAUUUUUAAUUAUAUGUAAAUUUUAUUUGAGAAUAAUUAGCAGUAAUUCAAUUUAAAUAUUCAAGAAAUUGAGAUUUAGAAAUAAUAAAUAAUAUAAACAAAAUUUGUGCCAGCAGUUGCGGUUAUACAAAUUAUAUAAUUUAAUUUUUAUUAAUUUUAAUUAAUUUGUAUUAUUAAAUUUUUAUAAGUAAUUAAUUAAGUGAAAUUUUUAAUUAUUUAAAAAUUUAUAUUAUAUAAUGAUUUAAGAAAGUUUUAUUUUAAACUAGGAUUAGAUACCCUAUUAUUUUAAUUGUAGUUAUUAAAAUUAAAUUAUUAAUAGUUAUGAUCUUUAAAAUUAAAAAAUUUGGCGGUAUUUUAGUCUUUUCAGAGGAACCUGUUUUAUAAAUGAUAAUCCACGAUUUAAUUUACUUAUUUUUUUAGUUUAUAUAUCGUCGUAUUUAAAUAUUUUUAUAGAAUAUAAAUAUUUAAAAUUUUUUAUUAAAAAAUUAAUCAGAUCAAGAUGUAAUUUAUAAAUAAGUAAAAAUGGGUUACAUUAAAUUUAUUUUAGGAUUUUAAUUAUUAUAAUUUAUUGAAUGUGGAUUUGAUAGUAAUUUAAAUUAAUUUAUUUAAAUGAUUUUAGCUCUAAAAUAUGUACAUAUUGCCCGUCACUUUCAUUUAAAGUGGAAUAAGUCGUAACAAAGUAGAUUUACUGGAAAGUGAAUCUAGAAUCAA
rnacentral:ncRNA from 1 species